rnacentral:rRNA from 1 species
CCAGACUCCUACGGGAGGCAGCAGUGGGGAAUAUUGGGCAAUGGGCGCAAGCCUGACCCAGCAACGCCGCGUGAAGGAAGAAGGCUUUCGGGUUGUAAACUUCUUUUGUCAGGGACGAAGCAAGUGACGGUACCUGACGAGUAAGCCACGGCUAGCUACGUGCCAGCAGCCGCGGUAAUACGUAGGUGGCAGGCGUUAUCCGGAUUUACUGGGUGUAAAGGGCGUGUAGGCGGGACUGCAAGUCAGAUGUGAAAACCACGGGCUCAACCUGUGGCCUGCAUUUGAAACUGUAGUUCUUGAGUACUGGAGAGGCAGACGGAAUUCCUAGUGUAGCGGUGAAAUGCGUAGAUAUUAGGAGGAACACCAGUGGCGAAGGCGGUCUGCUGGACAGCAACUGACGCUGAGGCGCGAAAGCGUGGGGAGCAAACAGGAUUAGAUACCCGAGUAUAG